UGGCGGUUACAUCACAUUGAAGUCACGGUUCCUGUAAGAUUACCGAAGUUAAGAAACGUAAAGCCUGGUUAGUACCUAGAUGGAUUACCGCUUGGGAAAACCAGGUGUUGUAGG